UACGUAGGGUGCGAGCGUUGUCCGGAAUUACUGGGCGUAAAGAGCUCGUAGGUGGUUUGUCGCGUUGUUCGUGAAAUCCCACGGCUUAACUGUGGGCGUGCGGGCGAUACGGGCAGACUGGAGUACUGCAGGGGAGACUGGAAUUCCUGGUGUAGCGGUGGAAUGCGCAGAUAUCAGGAGGAACACCGGUGGCGAAGGCGGGUCUCUGGGCAGUAACUGACGCUGAGGAGCGAAAGCUAGGGGAGCAAACAGG
rnacentral:rRNA from 1 species